rnacentral:sRNA from 1 species
CUUUUCUCCUCAAGUCCUGAAGUUGAGUUUGAGAGGCGACACGGCGGCGGCGGCCGCGCUGCUCCCGCUCCUCUGCCUCCCCAUGGAUAUGCACUGCAAAGCAGACCCCUUCUCCGCGAUGCACCAAUCAUCCGGACCAAAGUUCAGCAGCCUUUCCACCCAACGCCGGAUGGGGCUGGGACAGGAGUGACCGCCCCUGGCCACACCAUUGUUCCCAGCACGGCCUCCCCUCCUGUUUCCAGCGCCUCCAAUGACCCAGUGGGAUCCUACUCCAUCAAUGGGAUCCUGGGGAUUCCUCGCUCCAAUGGUGAGAAGAGGAAACGUGAUGAAGAUGUGUCCGAGGGCUCAGUCCCCAAUGGAGAUUCCCAGAGUGGUGUGGACAGUUUGCGGAAGCACUUGCGAGCUGACACCUUCACCCAGCAGCAGCUGGAAGCUUUGGAUCGAGUCUUUGAGCGUCCUUCCUACCCUGACGUCUUCCAGGCAUCAGAGCACAUCAAAUCAGAACAGGGGAACGAGUACUCCCUCCCAGCCCUGACCCCUGGGCUUGAUGAAGUCAAGUCGAGUCUAUCUGCAUCCACCAAC